GUAGGUGGCAAGCGUUGUCCGGAAUUAUUGGGCGUAAAGCGCGCGCAGGCGGUCCUUUAAGUCUGAUGUGAAAGCCCACGGCUCAACCGUGGAGGGUCAUUGGAAACUGGAGGACUUGAGUACAGAAGAGGAAAGCGGAAUUCCAAGUGUAGCGGUGAAAUGCGUAGAGAUUUGGAGGAACACCAGUGGCGAAGGCGGCUUUCUGGUCUGUAACUGACGCUGAGGCGCGAAAGCGUGGGGAGCAAACAGGGAUUAGAUACCCUGGUAGUCCACGCCGUAAACGAUGAGUGCUAAGUGUUAGGGGGGUUUCCGCCCCCUUAGUGCUGCAGCUAACGCAUUAAGCACUCCGCCUGGGGAGUACGGCCGCAAGGCUG
rnacentral:rRNA from 1 species